AGUUCCAUUGAACAUGGGUUUUAACUGCAGUGCUCGUGUUAAGUAGUUUUCUCUCAUUGGCUCUAUACAUCCUUAUGUUGUAACUUGCAAAUUAAAAGGGCUAGAAGAACCAUCCAUGACACUGUUAUUCAGAUAAUAUAGCAUAUUCCACAUAUCGGAGCUUUUUCAUAUCUGUUGUACGUGUGUUAUUUCGUUACAUUUUCCUUCUAAGUUUUGGAUAGUUAAAACAGAUUCAGACACAAGGAUGCCAUCAAGUGGCAGGUGAAGCAGAAAAGGAGUACAAAAAGAUGUCUGAGCGAAUCAAUGAAGGCAGGGAUGCAAUGAAGGCUUCAUAUUCUACAUUCAUGGCAGAUCUUCAAGCUAGUGGAUCUCGUCUUUGCAAACAAACCAUCCCUGAGCUGUCACAAUCCGUCGAGAAAGACAUAGAUGCUCUCAGGAACCGUUAUGGGAUCCAUUCAACUUAAGCUUGUUGAAGGCAUUGGCAUUAAGGUGGAAUCUAGUUACUCUGAAUUUCAUUAACGAAGACAAUAUAAUGUAGGAGCAAAUGGAGAUAGUUCAAGUGAUUAUGUUUUAAGGCCUGCUUACAAUAGAAAUUCAUCCAUGAAAAUUCGAACUCCUUUUUGCUUACAGUUGCAGUUUCUUGAGGAAUAUACACAACAUGCAAAUUUGAGUGCUUAGUCUUGUAAAUUCAUAUCUUCUAGAUGCAUUGACUACCAGCUUCCUGGUUCACCCAGCCUUAUAUUGGCCUAAUUUGGUAAUUUUCUAUUAGAACAUUACUUUCGUGCAUAUGUGACAUGAAACGAAAGGUGUUAUAUUACACCAUACAACAGAAUGUAUUUGAAAAGAAAAGAAAAUUGGAGAUGUUCCUUUUUCUUAUAUACACCAAGACUACGCUCCAAUUAAUUAUUACAGGUGAGAGAAUAGCUUCUAGGCCUUUGGUCCAGUGGCGGAUGCACAUGG